UUUUUAUUCCAAAUUUAAUAUUUUGUUAAACAGUGUUAAAUAAUUAUUUUUAUAACAAGGGGUUAAUUCUUUAAAUAAAGGUGUUUUAUUAUAUUUUAUUUAACAUUCUCCCUUGUAACAGGGCUAGGGGUUUUUUUGAAUUUUUUUAUAAAUAGGCUUCUCGAAAAUUUUAUUUACAAAAAUAGGUCUCCUUAAAAUUUUUUUGUAAAAAUAGCCUUCAAAUAGGCCUGGUCAGUGCGGUUGGCGGGUAAUGCAUAUAUGCGGUGAAUGGUUCACCGCAUUCAUAUAGCGGUGAACCAUUCACCGUAUUUGUGGGUCUAGGCACGCUGGGUGGUAAAAUCAAAGAAUGCGGUAAAUCAUUUACCGCAUUUAUAAUGCGGUUAACCAUUUACCGCAUUUAAAAACUGUAAUAACUGAGAUUUUUGAUUUAUUGAUUAAACCCUUUUGUUUGACGAUGUUCUUGUGUAUAAUAUAAUUAUAAGUGUACUCGUCAAAUUUCAGGAGAAAACGAGUUAAAACGGAGAAGUUACGCGACCCGGAAGUUUGACUUAAGUGAAUAGUAACUCCGGUUUUUCGGAGAGGCCGCGGAGUAGAGUGGACUUUCGACGCGUAUCGGACUCCGAAUAUAGCCUUCUAAUAGCUCGUUUUCAACUACUCGACUAUCCUGGACCCAAUGGCACUGACGGAAUUGGAUUUGGAUGCACGGAUUUCGAGAAAAAGGGGUUUAAUGGUUUUUGCAUAUCGUCGUCUAUAUGCGGGUUUUGGUGGAACCUUGGAGGGAUGGUUUUGUCGCAAAUCGGAAACCUUUUCGGGUGAAACGAAAUGCUAGAUUCGAUGCCUCUGUCGUGCUGAUCGCGCUGGUGCGAUCCGAUCGGAAAUCCGACGGACGGAUCUUCGAGAAUCGCGAAAAGUCCGCGAAGGGGCUGAUUUGAGAAAUCGGAUCAUUCGCGAAAAGGCCCUAUAUUUUAUGCAUCGAAUUGCGAGUUUUUGAACUCAGAGGGACUAUCGCGCAUUGUGCGACUGCUGGUUGAGAGCUGGGAUUAAUUCGAUUCCUUUCGAGGGGGUUUUCCGCAAGUUUUCCAUACCUUUAUAUAGGUGGAUCUAGGGUUUUAUUGGACCAAACCCUAACCCUAGAACCCCCCAGCUGACCCCAGCCGCCCCUGUCAUCCCAGCACCUCCCUGCUCUGCCCGUGCUCGCGUUCCGGCCGCCGGAAACAGCCUGUAGCCAGGUUUCCCUUCUCUCUUGGACCACCUCACCACCGGCUUAAGCUUUGUGCUUGGAGAGGCUUGUUAGGGUGGGCACCACCUCCUCCUCGGUCUCCGGCACCGGAUCAUCGCCGCCCCGACCUCCCCCGGUCGCCGCCUCGCCACCGGCAAGCUCCAACCCGAGAGGAAGUGUGCGGGCCUGAUCUCUGCCGCCGCGCCACCGGCUGCUGCCCGCCGCCGGCCAGCACAUCCCCCGGACCUCCCCGACCAGCUGCUCCCAUCCCCGCCCGGAGUGCCCGCCGUCCGAUCGCCGGCGGCCAUCCCUAGCUCCCACAGCUCCGGU
rnacentral:lncRNA from 1 species